UACGAAGGGGGCGAGCGUUGUUCGGAAUUACUGGGCGUAAAGGGCGCGUAGGCGGCCGAUCAAGUCAGAUGUGAAAGUCCUGGGCUUAACCUGGGGACUGCAUUUGAUACUGAUUGGCUUGAAUUCGGGAGAGGAUAGCGGAAUUCCCAGUGUAGAGGUGAAAUUCGUAGAUAUUGGGAAGAACACCGGUGGCGAAGGCGGGAUCCUGGGCCAGUACUGACGCUGAGGAGCGAAAGCGUGGGGAGCAAACAGG
rnacentral:rRNA from 1 species